GAGUAACACGUGGGCAACCUGCCUGUAAGACUGGGAUAACAUCGGGAAACCGAUGCUAAUACCGGAUAAUCCUUUUCCUCUCAUGAGGAAAAGCUGAAAGUCGGUUUCUGGCUGACCCUUACAGAUGGGCCCGCGGCGCAUUACCUAGUUGGGGAGGUAACGGCUCACCAAGGCAACAAUCCGUACCCAACUUGAAAGGGGGAUCGGCCCCCCGGGGACUGAAACCCGGCCCAAACUCCUACGGGAGGCACCAGUAGGGAAUCUUCCGCAUGGGACAAAAGUCUGACGGACCACCGCCGCGGGAACAAUAAAGGCCUUCGGGUCGUAAAGUUCUGUUGUUAGGGAAAAACAAGUACCGAAUUAACGGCCGGUACCUUGACGGUCCCUAACCAAAAAGCCACGGUUAACUACUUGCCACCACCCGCGGUAAUACUUAGGUGGCAAGCGUUGUCCGGAAUUAUGGGGCGUAAAGCGCGCGCAGGCGGUCCUUUAAUUCUAAUGUGAAAGCCCACGGCUCACCCGGGAAGGGUCAUUGGAAACGGGGGGACUUGAUUGCAAAAAAGGAAAGCGGAUUUCCACGUGUACCGGUGAAAUGCGUAAAGAUGUGAAGGACCACCAUUGGCGAAGGCGGCUUUCUGGUCUGUAACUGACGCUAAGGCGCGAAAGCGUGGGGGAGCAAACAGGAUUAGAUACCCGGGUAGUCCACGCCGUAAACGAUGAGUGCUAAGUGUUAAAGGGUUUCCGCCUUUUAGUGCUGCAGCUAACGCAUUAAGCACUCCGCCUGGGGGAGUACGGCCCG
rnacentral:rRNA from 1 species